CUUUCAGGAACCCAAUGAACCGGUGUUUCACUCCCAGGAUUCCUGCCCAUCUGUGAGUAGGUGACUUUGGGUAGCCAAGACUCCUGUGACUGCAGCAACGAUGUUAGCCUGUGGUAGUCUCAUGACUGGCAGGAACAGCACGGACUUUCCACCACCCAAAACCACAGCACUGCUCCAGUCACUGUGACCAAUGUACCAAUGAAGUUAAAGGACAAAUGUUUCCAACCAAUCCUUGUGUGCCUCAAUGUACCCAUCCCCAUUCCUGUAUAUUUUGUGCUUAAAAGUAGACUGUAUCUGUAGGACGGGGUUGUUGUUCUUCUCCUGCUUGAAGGUUGAGGAACCCUGGUUUAUUAAUAAACCUAUUGCUGAUUG